GGGCAGCAUAAUGGAUAGCAAUAUCUACGGUGGCGACCGGCGCACGGGUGCGUAACGCGUAUGCAACCUACCUUUAACAGGGGGAUAACACUGAGAAAUUGGUACUAAUACCCCAUAAUAUCAUAGAAGGCAUCUUUUAUGGUUGAAAAUUCCGAUGGUUAGAGAUGGGCAUGCGUUGUAUUAGCUAGUUGGUGGGGUAACGGCUCACCAAGGCGACGAUACAUAGGGGGACUGAGAGGUUAACCCCCCACACUGGUACUGAGACACGGACCAGACUCCUACGGGGGGCAGCAGUGAGGAAUAUUGGUUAAUGGACGCAAGUCUGAACCAGCCAUGCCGCGUGCAGGAUGACGGCUCUAUGAGUUGUAAACUGCUUUUGUACGAGGGUAAACGCAGAUACGUGUAUCUGUCUGAAAGUAUCGUACGAAUAAGGAUUCGGUAACUCCGUGCCAGCAGCCGCGGUAAUACGGAGGAUUCAAGCGUUAUCCGGAUUUAUUGGGUUUAAAGGGUGCGUAGGCGGUUUGAUAAGUUAGAGGUGAAAUUUCGGGGCUCAACCCUGAACGUUGCUCUAAUACUGUUGAGCUAGAGAGUAGUUGC
rnacentral:rRNA from 1 species